GUUAGCCAGGAUGGUCUCGAUCUCCUGAACUCGUGAUCUGCCCACCUCAGCCUCCCAAAGUGCUGGGAUUACAGGCAUGAGCCACUGCACCCGGCCGAGAUUUCUCAAUCUUUUAAGAACUUCAUGUGGCUGAAAAGAUCAAGAAGAGACAUAAAGUCCUACUCACUCUGAACCAGCAGCACUGAGGAAACUGAUUAAGAAAUUCUAGUGUAUCGAUAGUGGAGAUCCGGAUCCAUUAGUUUGGUAGAGACUGAAAACAGCACUACUUUUAGAACUUGACCUGGAGCUCCAUGUCCCAGUGGGAGGACACUGGGAUUCCUGAUGUUGGGUGUUCUAUUCACUCAAAGCAUCAAGAGACUUGAGCUGCCUAAGUAGGGGAGUCUGUUGAUGACUUUCAGCCCUGUAUUCCUGCAGACAAUUAGGAAGAGGCUGCCAAACGGAUAUUAAUAGCUUGAUAUAAUCAUAGUAAUAUCAAUAGUGUUAUGAACAGGGGACAGAGAAAUUCUAGGCAGAAAAGGGUGGGUCCCUGGUGAAGCCUCACCCUCAAGCUGAAAAGCCUGAGACUGUGGCCCAAAGUGACAACGUAUAUCCCUUUUUUUCCACUUGAAUGUUGCCUUUUCCUAAACCACCCACGGUCUGCCCUGCUCCCCUGUCCUGUGCUUAUACAGACCCCAGAUUCAACUGGUAGAGGGGAGAAGCUGCUGGAUGUUGGCGACUGUGGUUGGACAUCGGAGAGAAGUGGCUUGACAUAAGAGGGAUAGCUUGAUGGCCUAGCUUCGGAGAGGAAUCUGGCCAGAGACAGCUGGACUUAAGGGGAAGAUGACCUUCCCAUCCCAUCCCCUUUUCAGCUCCCCUUCCUGCUGAGAGCCAUUUUCGUAGGCAAUAAAUCCCCUGCAUUUACCAUCCUUCAAUUCGUUCAUGCAACCUCAUUUUUCCUGGAUGCCAGACAAGAGCUUGGGAGCCAUGAGUGUGGAUGCAAAAGGCCCUUUGCCCUCACUGGCAGGAGGCAACCGUCUUACGUGAAAAGGCAGAGGGCCCACUGAGCUGUUAACACUUAAGCAGUCCACAGACAGCAGAGCUAAAAGCACUGUAACACUCACUCUGGGGCUUCAGGGUUUGCAGGCACCCCACUAGAUGCUGCCACAGGGCCUGCAUGGAGUUUGCUUCCGCCAGCACCCAAAAGCACUCGCCCUGGCUCCUGCACCUGCUCACCUGCACGUUCCCUCUGCUAGGGGUGGAGCACAGCGGGUCUGAGUGAGUGGAGUUCACUCCUGCCAGCGCCAAAGCCGCUGGCUGGUUCCAGCACUCAUGCACUCCUUUUCCCGCUUCAUUCACUUGCAUACUCCCUCCCACAAGGAGUUGAGAACUGCAGGCACCCCUGCUGUGAGUCCUGUGAAGGGGUCAAGGAAAUAUCCAGCUUCAAUAGGUGAUACUUAUUGAGCUCUUAGUCUGUGUGAGGUAUUGUUCUACAUGUAGAUUAUUUCGUAUUAUCUUUAUUAUUUUUGUAGGGCAGGUCCAAUUGUCUACAUUUUACACAGCCCCACAGAAAUACUUGCCCAAGACCAUAUAACAUGUUUGUGAGAGAGCCACGAUUUGAACCAGGUCUUCUGGCUCUGGCUUUGGGGUAAAUUAGGGAGUUCUGAGGAGUGUGAUUGUGAUUUUUAACUCAGUCACUUUGUAGAUCGUUCAAUACAGUGGGGUGCCACUUGAACCUUGGUAUAGCUUUCACUUUAUCUCCAUGAGUAAGAGCUGAUGCUAGCUCAAUUGUUAUGAGACCAACUCAUGCUUGAAAAAAAAUGGUCACAGGGAUGAAUGGGGCUGGAAACAUACUGAUCCCAGAGAUUUUGCAUAGUAUAUAGAGAAUCACUAAAUCAGUGAAGCAAUAAGUGGAAGGAAAUAUCUUGGUAAUAGAUUGAGAACCUUUAGAAAAUUGAUGCCUUAAGUAUUUCAAAGAAAAUAACAAAGGUCCCUUCUCUACUUGUGAAAGAAACAUUAAAGUCAGGUUUGUGACAGUUUCAACUAUGAGGUUGUGGAGGGGGUGGAGGUUGGGAUAAAUAAGACCCUCACAGUCUCAAAGAGAUUGGACCCAAGGAGUGGGUAGAAGCUAACAGAAUUUUCAAUGACCCAUCUCAGGUGAUGAAGAUUGGAAUUGGUGUGAAAGGGCCAGGCUGUACAACAGUAGCAGAAGUGAACUGCAGGGUGUGUUUGAUAAUUUAGAUAAAACACACAAUUCAUCCAACAAGUUAGGGAUGGUGUAUGGGAUGAAGGGAUGCUGUGUUGAAACCUUGAUUUGGGUUUCCUACAAGGGCACAGAUGAAAAUGUUUACCCCACAACCCUAAGGGCAUCAUCUAUAAUCUGCCCACUGUAUAAGGUGAGCCUAGUACUGACAUGGUCAUAACACCAUUCUGGAAUGGAAUGGGACCAGUGAAAGAUGAGUCACUUCCUUCCUCCUCUCUUGGUUUUCAUCUGGCCAUGAAAAGGACUGAAUAACAGGCAUCAAGUAAUUUCCAGAAUUCUGUAGUAGGUCAAAUUAUUUUAAUAGCCUGCUUUAGGGGAGAUCCAGUUUUUAACCGCUCACUAUACUUUAGCAUCAUUGAUUACAUUAGUGUUGGAAAUUCAGUCUCAAUAGCAUGGCAUUUGAUGAAAUAAUAUUUUACCAGUGUCCUUACUGGAAAUCAGAAUGCUGAAAAAAAAGAGCCUAUAUCUCACAGAACUCUAGUAUUAGUUAUGUUUUGGAAAAAAAGUAUAUAUUCAGAAAAGAAAUCAUCAGAAAAUUAUAAAAUUCCCAUCUUGAUUGACAAAAGUUUUAUGUAGUAUACACUUUAUCUGAGGAGCUCUUGCUUAGAGCAAAACUGGAACUCUUUGAGAAGCAUUUAAAAGACAACUCGAUUUGAGUCCCCUUCUGUCUCUUUUCCCAGAUUGAUACAUGUGGCCUCCUACAUUUAAAAUGAAAAGUCCUCAGACAAUCCUAAUCACAUUGUCAGUCAGAUAGUCAUCUCCUGAAAGGGGCUCCUUCACCUUUAAGGAUGCAUGUACAAUAGUGAUAUGUAAGCAGCUCAAAGACUCAAUACCCCUUUUUUCUGCAAAGCAAGGCUGGGUUAGGAAAAAAUCAAUAUGUUGGAAGUAAAGGUCAGACGAGGAAAAGUGACAUGAAACAGAACUAAGGGAACAAUAUCCUUCAUGAAGACUGUUUGAAGUUUCCUUUACCCUUGUGCUAGCUUCAGUGCAAAUAUAUUUUAUCCUAGAAUAGAAGGCUGUAUUCUUGAGGAAAAGUCAUAUUUUAAAUAUUUAUCUAUUCGGCAGCGUCCUUAUUGUAUAUUAUCCUUGUCCUAUUGACUAAUACUCAAAAAGAAUAGCACAGAGUUUAAAGUGCACAUUGCAUGUGAAUUGGAAUUGCCGGAUUUUUUUUUCUUAUACGCAAUGGGAUUCGAACACACAUAUGCAUUUGGCUACUUUUUUGAACAGUUCUCAAUUUACUUUUUCAAGUGGGCCAGAUGUACUACUAUAGCCCUUAAAAGGGUCAGGACCGUCUCCUUAUUUCCCCACUCUCUAUACUUAUUGCUUGGGUAUAGCUUUAAAGUAGCCCAUGAACCCUUUUCACUCUUGCAACACAUUUACCCACAAUUAACAAUCAAGCUGUCUUCCCUGCAUUCAGGACUCCAUUCUCCCGGGCCUCAUUUUCCCUGCCUCUCUCUUGAUCUACCAUUGUGCAGAGAGCUGUUUGUGCCAUCUCAAUCUGCCCCCCUCACCAGCCGCACAAGGACUGGGGGGGAAGAAAGCGCCCGGCAUUCAGAUGCUGAAUAGCAAAUUGCUCUUGAGUGUCCUUGCUUCCCCCAGCUCUCCCCCUUCCUCGGGAAGGACAAGGGGGGAGCUGAAAGCAACCAUACAUUUUGUUCAGUGCUCUUGAAAACAAGCGUUUCACACCUGAAGCCUUUCACAGCAGCCUAGAAGCACCCCUUCAAACCACUUAAUUGCCAAUUGCUUCAGAGCUCCUUGUAAAAGUCCAUUAUGUCAGCCAGCUCCAUGGCGGAGACAAAGUAUGCGAAAUGAAAGAGUCCUCCUUAUUCCAGGGCCAAUGCCGCAUUAAAUAUCCCCAGAUCACUGGUUUUCUUGUUGUUAACAGGGCGUGAUUGGCUCCCGUUGGAGGUAUGCACGGAAACCUUCUAGUAUUAUUUGAAAAUGCAAUUUUCCUUGUGUUCUUUGUCAAAAUAAGAUACAAAUAAAAAGAUAUCAGAGAUAUCCAAGAAAGUGAUCUUCACACACUGGUUUGCUGUGCUGGGAGUUGGGGUGGGGGAGGGGGUGAGUCACAACCUACAAUAGUGCACCUAUCAAAAUGGAGUCGCCUUCUGCUUUUCUCAUUAGGUUGAAAAAAUUAAAGUGUGUGCAAAUUCUCAAAGUUAAGAGGCUCUAUCCUUGAAGUCCAAAGAAACUCACAAUAAGAUAUUCCACAAGGAAAGCAUGCUGGCCCUGAACACAAUGAAACUGCAUGUUUAUUCACUAGAGAAUUGUUUCAAAGUUGCAGCUGUGGAAAUUGAUUUUAAAAUGACUUGGCUUAUUUGGAAGCCUGCCCCCGCCCUCUCCCCCCAUUCUUUACUACAAUUAACAACAACACAAUCAAUUUGAUGAAGAACCACACCUGGCGGGGUAUCUGAGUAUUAAAUGAAAUAUUCUUAGAGAAUAUGUGUCUUGUAAGCAAGGCUGCUUCUUAACUACUAGAGAAACGGGGCUGGCCAGGUGAGGGAGACAUAUUAAUAAAAUAUGAUCUGGUCAAGGGUCAUCAAGUCCAAUGGUACACAAGUGGGGUUGAUCUGUCAGGAUAUAUUAGUUCAAGGUAGUUCUUAUUAAUAAACAUCCUGGGUUACCGGACUUCCAUUUUUGUUCUGCCAGCACUUUGAAAGCCAUGGGCCUGAUACAGGAGGAGUCUGAAUAAUCUGCGUCCAUUUUCAUGCGCGUCCGUGUGAAGAGACCACCAAACAGGCUUUGUGUGAGCAACAUGGCUGUUUAUUUCACCUGCGUGCAGGCGGGCUGAGUCCGAAAAGAGUCAGGGAAGGGAGAUAAGGGUGGGGCCGUUUUAUAGGAUUUGGGUAGGUAAAGGAAAAUGACAGUCAAAGGGGGUUUGUUCUCUGGUGGGUAGGAGUGGGGGUCUCAAGGUGCUCAGUGGGCAGGAGUGGGGGCGGCAAGGUGCUCAGUGGGGGUGCUUUUUGAGCCAGGAUGAGCCAGGAAAAGGACUUUCACAAGGUAAUGUCAUCAGUUAAGGCAAGGACCGGCCAUUUACACUUCUUUUGGGGUGGAAUGUCAUCAGUUAAGGUGGGGCAGGGCAUAUUCACUUCUUUUGUGAUUCUUUAGUUACUUCAGGCCAUCUGGGCGUAUACAUGCAGGUAACGGGAUGUGAUGGCUUGGCUUGGGCUCAGAGGCCUGACAUUCCUGCCUUCUUAAUAAGAAAAAUAAAACAAAAUAGUGUUGAAGUGUUGGGGUGGCGAAAAUUUUUGGGGGGUGGUAUGGAGAGAGAAUGGGCGAUGUUUCUCAGGGCUGCUUCAAGCGGGAUUAGGGGCGGUGUGGGAACCUAGAGUGGGAGAGAUUAAGCUGAAGGGAGAUCUUGUGGUAAGGGGUGAUACUGUGGGGUUGUUAGAAGAAACAUUUGUUGUAUAGAAUGAUUGGUGAUGGCCUGGAUACGGUUUUGUAUGAACUGAAAAACUAAAUGGAAUAAGAAGGAGAAAAACUGGUAUAAAAGGUCUAAGAAUUGGGAGGACCUAAGACAUCUGAUUAGAGAGUGCCUAAGGAGAUUCAGCAUAGUCCUGCCAGCAAAGAUUAUUUAUUUACUUCAAGAGUUCAGAGUGGCGGUUUGGGGAUAGCACGAGGAGAUAUCAGCUGUGAUGGCUUGGAUAAACAGUGUAAACCGGCAGUGUAAACAAGAGCAGGGCAUGUAUGAGUAGUUGAGAACGGAGAAGAGGAGUAUGACUAGACAGAAGAUAGUAGGGAUGACAAGUAUUUUUUGGGGCACAGUCUAAGUUGGUCUGGUGUCUGGAAUGAGACUAGGGCCUAAUAAAAAGGAGCAUCUAUACAGGAGCUUAAAUGGGCUGUACUUUGUAGCUUUCCGAGGACAGGCCUGAAAGCUUGGUGAGAUGUGUUUUUAAAAGACCUUCAGUCCAUUCUACCUUUCUUGAAAAUGGAGGACUGUAAGGGAUAUAAAGGUUUCACUGAAUACUAAGAGCCUGAAAAACUGCUUGGCUGAUUUGACUAAUAAAGGCUCAUCUGUUAUCAGACUGUAUUGAGGUGGGAAGGCUAAACUGAGGAAUUAUGUCUGACAGAACAGAAGAAAUGACUGUGGUGGCCUUCUCAGACCCUGUAGGAAAGGCCUCUACCUAUCCAGUGAAAGUGUCUACCUAGACUAAGAGGUAUUUUAGUUUUCUGACUCAGGGCAUGUUGAGUAAAGCUAAUUUGCCAGUCCUGGGUGGGGCAAAUCCUGGAGCUUGAUGUGUAGGGAAGGGAGGGGGCCUGAAUAAUCCCUGAGGAGUGGUAGAAUAGCAGAUGGAACACUGAGAAGUUAUUUCCUUGAGGAUAGAUUUCCACGAUGGAAAGGAAAUGGGAGGUUCUGAGAGGUGGGCUAGUGGCUUGUACUAUAGCAUAGCCUGCCUUUGCUGGUGUGUGGCGAUUAGGCCUGGUGGAACUGCCAUCAAUAAAUCAAGUGUGAUCAGGGUGAGGAACAGGAAAGAAGGAAAUGUGGGGAAAUGGGGUGAAUAUCAGGUGGAUCAGAGAGAUACAGUCAUGGGGGUCAGGUGUGGUAUCAGGAAUAAUGUGGGAGGCCGGAUUGAAGUCUGGGCCAGGAACAACGGUAAUUGUGGGAGACUCAACAAAGAGUGAGUACAGCUGAAGGAGCCGGGGAGCAGAAAGUAUAUGCGUUAGGUAUGAGGAAGAAAAUAGAUUUUGGAAGUUAUGAGAACUGUAGAGAGUGAGUUGAGCAUAGUUUGUGAUUUUGAGGGCCUCUAAAAGUAUUAAAUCAGCGGCAGCUGCUGCAUGCAGACGUGAGGGCUAGGCUAAAACAGUAAGGUCAAGUUGUUUGGACAGAAAGGCUACAGGGUGUGGUCCUGGCUCUUGUGUAAGAAUUCUGAACACGCUAACCAUGCCUAGGAAGGAAAGGAGUUGUUGUUUUGUAGAAAAUGCUUGGGUUUGAGAGAUCAGUCGGACACGAUUGGCAGGGAGAGCACAUGUGUUUUUAUGAGAAUUAUGCCGAGAUAGGUAACAGUUGAGGAAGAAAUUUGGGCUUGACUGAUGUAAUGGGGGCUGUCUGUGAAGCUUUGCGGCAGUACAGCCUACUGUGAGAGUUACCCGAAGCUCGGCGUCCGUGAUGGUCUAGGGGGCUUCCGAGGCGAUCGGGCAGCGUCAGUCUUCAGCAGCUAAGCCGAGAAGAUCUGGGAAGGAGUCAGUCAGAGAGCCUUGGGCCAGAGUUCCAGGGGCUCUGGGAGUGGCUGCCAGGUAAUAUACUUUGCUCUCUGUGAAGCCCUUUGACUUGAAGAAAUAGUGAUCUAAGAUAAUGUCCUGCCAUCCAGAAGAAUUGUAGGCACGGGAGAGAUUGAAAUUGGUACUAAAAUAAAUUCUGAAGCCAAGAUAACAACAACAACAACAACAAAGAUAUCAGAUCUAAUAUCCCACCCAAUUUCUGAGUUAAGCCAGUGACAGGUAUAUUUCGAAGCAAGACUAUUUAGACACAUUGAUUUUUGUUGUCACUUUCUUCUUAUUUCAUAUGUCACAUCAAGGCUUGGAAAUCGGAUGAAUGUAAGAAGGGUCCGCUGAUCACUGUUCCUCAGGAGGAAUUUUCAAAGUCAGCUAGCUGUGCUUGAUGAAAGUGGUCCUGCAUAGAGCUCCACUCUGCCUGCAGGGAAGUUUAGGCAAACUACACUUUACCACUUCACUCCUAUUACUAGGAUUCUUGGUUGUCAAGGAGGCAUCUAUUUAACUGAAGUCUGGUAAAUCUCAAAAGUAAAGUAUUAGGGAGGAAAAAAAGCUUAAAUCAUCUUUUUUCCUCUUACUUCAAAGUCCUUUUAAAUGAACAUGCAACUCCAAUUCUGGUAAACAAAUUUUAUGAAGUAAGUCGUGCAGGUAAUGCGUUCUUCAAUUGUAUGCUUCCAGGAUAACAUGUUGACAUCCAAUCUUUGUGUUUUGAAGAGUUUAAAUUUUUUAAAAAUAAGUUAGGAAAAAUACUGAAUAGCUUUUUAGUCCUGAAAAAUAAGCGAACAAGAUAGUUGAAAAAUAUUAAGUGCAGUUCGACUUUAAGCUUUGCAUAAUAUAUCGUCUAUUUAAGAGCUUAGUGACAAAAACUUAUGCAAAAUAGAAAAAUAAUUGAUAGCCAGUUUUGAGAAAUGUAUGCUUUUAUAUCACAUUUAUAUAGGGAGUCUAAUAGAAGAAAAAUGUGUUCAAAAUUCAGUCUAAUAUUAGUCUCCUAUCUCUAAAUUCCAGUUGUAAAACUAUUGGAGUUACAGGGGCAUAAUUUAAGUAAGUGAUAAAAUGUUUCAAACUAAUAUUAUUUAGAAAAAAUGUGGCUUAUUUCUACCACUUAAAAAAGGGGAAGUCUAAAACGGACUGAUAAAGUCUCAAGAGGAUGCGGUUUGGGCACUUUGAGGGAGGCACCCUGCUUAGUUCUGAAGCCGACUAGGACUGAGGGCUCCUGGACAGACCCUACAGUUUUAAUGGUCAUAGUCUCAAGUCUAAAACAUUGCAGGGACAUUUGGGCAGGAGAGAAGGAUCAUGGAUGCCAUUCUAGUGUCACAGAGGGAUUUCCUUUUCAGAGCACUUACAGUGCCUUCCCCGCCUGUGGUUGAGCUAGAUUUCCUUUAGGAAAUUUUAUUUGAGCCCACAGGGAGAGAGCACUUGCUAAGUUGUAAUUUCCUCUGAUUUGAGAUACAGCAUCUGCAGGCCUCCUGUGUAGGAUCACGCAGUAAAAAAACAAAAACAAAAAACCAAACCAACACCCCCCACCCCACCAGGGUUUAUCUUUUAAACUUGGCUGAAUACCCAGUCAUUUGUAACUCAAAUUUUCCCUUAACAAUGUACUUUCUUUAAAAAUACAUUCAAGUAAUUGUGUGGACAUUCUUGGACAGUGGUGUAUCAGACUGUGUUAACUGCUUAUUCACAUGAUAUUUUUAGCCUAAAUAAAAGUUUAUCUUAGGCACGUUAUUUGAACAAUUGAAUUAAGUUAAUUAAAAGAGUAGAAUGUUAAUAUAUUAACAUAAAUGAGCAUUUAUGAAAAACUGGGAUUGCGAUAGUUUACUGAGAAUGAUGUUUUCCAAUUUCAUCCAUGUCCCUACAAAGGACAUGAACUCAUCAUU
rnacentral:lncRNA from 1 species